UACGAAGGGGCUAGCGUUGUUCGGAAUCACUGGGCGUAAAGCGCACGUAGGCGGAUUUUAAGUCAGGGUGAAAUCCCGAGGCUCAACCUCGGAACUGCCUUUGAUACUGAGAUCUUGAGUCCGGAAGAGGUAAGUGGAACUGCGAGUGUAGAGGUGAAAUUCGUAGAUAUUCGCAAGAACACCAGUGGCGAAGGCGGCUUACUGGUCCGGAACUGACGCUGAGGUGCGAAAGCGUGGGGAGCAAACAGG
rnacentral:rRNA from 1 species